AGUUCUGUAGUGUAGCGGUUAGCAUGUCUGCUUUACACGCAGAAAGUCCUGGGUUCAUGCCCCAGUGGAGCCA
rnacentral:tRNA from 1 species